rnacentral:rRNA from 1 species
AGAGUUUGAUCCUGGCUNANANNNAACGCUGGCGGCAGGCCUAACACAUGCAAGUCGAACGCCCUAGCAAUAGGGAGUGGCAGACGGGUGAGUAACGCGUGGGAACCUUCCCUAUAGUACGGAAUAUACCAGGGAAACUUGGAGCAAUACCGUAUACGCCCGAAAGGGGAAAGAUUUAUCGCUAUAGGAUGGGCCCGCGUAGGAUUAGCUAGUUGGUGAGGUAAUGGCUCACCAAGGCGACGAUCCUUAGCUGGUCUGAGAGGAUGAUCAGCCACACUGGGACUGAGACACGGCCCAGACUCCUACGGGAGGCAGCAGUGGGGAAUAUUGGGCAAUGGGCGCAAGCCUGACCCAGCCAUGCCGCGUGAGUGACGAAGGCCUUAGGGUUGUAAAGCUCUUUUGGCGGGGACGAUAAUGACGGUACCCGCAGAAUAAGCCCCGGCUAACUUCGUGCCAGCAGCCGCGGUAAUUC